rnacentral:rRNA from 1 species
GAUGAACGCUGACAGAAUGCUUAACACAUGCAAGUCUUUGGCGAAGCUGUGCUUGCACAGCCUAGCCAAGGCGGACGGGUGAGUAACGCGUAAGGAACUUGCCCUGCAGUCAGGGAUAACAGACGGAAACGACUGAUAAGACCUGGUAAAGUCAGGCGGACUCAUGUCCAGCCUGAUGAAAAGAGAUGCUGCAGGAGAGCCUUGCGUCCUAUUAGCUUGUUGGUGGGGUAACGGCCCACCAAGGCGAUGAUAGGUAGCCGGCCUGAGAGGGUGGACGGCCACAAGGGGAAUGAGAUACGGCCCUUACUCCGACGGCAGCAGUGGGGAAUAUUGGACAAUGGGGGCAACCCUGAUCCAGCAAUUCUGUGUGCACGAUGAAGGUUUUCGGAUUGUAAAGUGCUUUCAGCAGGGAAGAAAAAAAUGACGGUACCUGCAGAAGAAGCGACGGCUAAAUACGUG